rnacentral:rRNA from 1 species
UACGUAGGGUGCAAGCGUUGUCCGGAUUUAUUGGGCGUAAAGAGCUCGUAGGCGGUUUGUCGCGUCGGAUGUGAAAACCCAAUGGCUUAACCUUGGGCCUGCAUUCGAUACGGGCAAACUAGAGUGUGGUAGGGGAGACUGGAACUCCUGGUGUAGCGGUGGAAUGCGCAGAUACCAGGAAGAACACCGAUGGCGAAGGCAGGUCUCUGGGCCAUAACUGACGCUGAGGAGCGAAAGCGUGGGGAGCGAACAGG